UACGUAGGCAGCAAGCGUUGUUCGGAGUUACUGGGCGUAAAGGGUGUGUAGGCGGUUGGAUAAGUGUGGUGUGAAAUCUCCCGGCUUAACUGGGAGGGUGCGCUACAAACUGUCUGACUAGAGUAUGGGAUGGGAGAGUGGAAUUCCUGGUGUAGCGGUGGAAUGCGCAGAUAUCAGGAGGAACAUCGGUGGCGAAGGCGGGUCUCUGGGCAGUAACUGACGCUGAGGAGCGAAAGCGUGGGGAGCGAACAGG
rnacentral:rRNA from 1 species